rnacentral:misc_RNA from 1 species
GUAAACGUUGUCGUUUGGAUCAACCUUAACAGAGAUUCGUCUACAAAUAAUCCAAUUACCAAGGCAGCAGUUUCUUCUACGGGUUGAAUAAGAAUGCAGAUAAUAGUAGAUACAAGGCAAAUUCAAACAAUUAACAUGAGUAGCAUCACCCACACUACAAUAAUCAAGAAUACAGAUUGGUCUUUGCAGUCUUAAGCUUUCUCCUGCCCCAUGUCAUCACUCCACGUGGAGUGCAGAACUGCAGAAACUCAACCAACCAUUGUGCGCUUUCUUCCUCUUUGCCUCACUUCCGCUAGCUUGUUCAAGGUUGAUGACCAUUGCUUUGAGGACUUCCUAUAUGCAGCAAGUAUACGGUCCAUCACAUUUCCACAAGAAGAGUGCAUAGAGAGUAAAGCACGUUCCAGUACAUAUAAAUCAACUGCUUUAUCUUCUGGAAGCGUUGAAGUAAAGCUUAGACCAAAGUCAAUCAGCACCAGCUGAUUGGCAGAACUCCUCAGUAACAUGUUUGAUGUUGUCAAAUCGCCAUGGACUAGGCCACCAUCGUGUAGUUUUCCAAUAGCAUUACCAAUCUGUGUUGUAAUAUCAGCCAUUCGUUCUUCGUCAACUCCAACUAGUCCAAAGCCAAGCAAUAUAUCUUUCACCGAAGGACCUUCAACAUAUUCAAAGGUGAGAGUGUGCAUAACAGUGUCAACAGCAUACAACACUGGAGUGACAACACCAAGCCGUCUAGCUUUUGUCAUGCACCUUGCUUCCGCAUUCAACCGUUUAAGAGUGAGCUUUGAGUCCAAAAUCGGAUGCCUGUAUUUCUUUGAAAACCGUUCCUUGAUAAUACACCUUCUACUACCCACAAAUGUUGACUCAAAUACCCUAGCCUCAGCUCCUUGCUUGAUUAAAACCAAUGAUCCAUCACUUCCAUCUGCCUUGAUUUCCAUCUUUUUGCCGUUGAAGAUGAGCAGCGCCGCCACCGCAAACCGCACAGCUUCGGACAGUAUGAGUGAAGAAGAAGGACGACCGCAGUUAGGAUUUAGAAGAUUUGGGAAUUUGG